UCCGGAAAUACUUGUCAUCAAAAUGAAUAAAAAAGAUGUAUCUAGACGUAAUUUAAUUUUAGAUACAUGCUUUUUCGUCUAUUUUGAUGACAAGUAUUUUCGGA
rnacentral:pre_miRNA from 1 species